rnacentral:rRNA from 1 species
CCUACGGGGUGCAGCAGGCGAGAAAACUUUGCAAUGUGCGAAAGCACGACAAGGUUAAUCCGAGUGGUUUCUGCUAAAGAAACCUUUUGUCAGUCCUAGAAACACUGAUGAAUAAGGGGUGGGCAAGUUCUGGUGUCAGCCGCCGCGGUAAAACCAGCACCUCAAGUGGUCAGGAUGAUUAUUGGGCCUAAAGCAUCCGUAGCCGGCUCUGUAAGUUUUCGGUUAAAUCUGUACGCUCAACGUACAGGCUGCCGGGAAUACUGCAGAGCUAGGGAGUGGGAGAGGUAGACGGUACUCGGUAGGAAGGGGUAAAAUCCUUUGAUCUAUUGAUGACCACCUGUGGCGAAGGCGGUCUACCAGAACACGUCCGACGGUGAGGGAUGAAAGCUGGGGGAGCAAACCGGAUUAGAUACCCGGGUAGUCCCAGCUGUAAACUAUGCAAACUCAGUGAUGCAUUGGCUUGUGGCCAAUGCAGUGCUGCAGGGAAGCCGUUAAGUUUGCCGCCUGGGAAGUACGUACGCAAGUAUGAAACUUAAAGGAAUUGGCGGGGGAGCACCACAAGGGGUGAAGCCUGCGGUUCAAUUGGAGUCAACGCCAGAAAUCUUACCCGGAGAGACAGCAGAAUGAAGGUCAAGCUGAAGACUUUACCAGACAAGCUGAGAAGUGGUGCAUGGCC